rnacentral:rRNA from 1 species
CCUACGGGAGGCUGCAGUGAGGAAUAUUGGUCAAUGGGCGCGAGCCUGAACCAGCCAAGUAGCGUGAAGGAUGACUGCCCUACGGGUUGUAAACCUCUUUUAUAAGGGAAUAAAGUGUGGGACGUGUCCUGUUUUGUAUGUACCUUAUGAAUAAGGAUCGGCUAACUCCGUGCCAGCAGCCGCGGUAAUACGGAGGAUCCGAGCGUUAUCCGGAUUUAUUGGGUUUAAAGGGUGCGUAGGCGGCCUUUUAAGUCAGCGGUGAAAGUCUGUGGCUCAACCAUAGAAUUGCCGUUGAAACUGGGAGGCUUGAGUAUGUUUGAGGCAGGCGGAAUGCGUGGUGUAGCGGUGAAAUGCUUAGAUAUCACGCAGAACCCCGAUUGCGAAGGCAGCCUGCCAAGCCAUGACUGACGCUGAUGCACGAAAGCGUGGGGAUCAAACAGGAUUAGAUACCCUAGUAGUC